GGGCAAUUGUCUUGUAAUUGGAAUGAUGGUGACGUAAAAUCUCACCAGAGUAACAAUUGGAGGGCAAGUCUGGUGCCAGCAGCCGCGGUAAUUCCAGCUCCAAUAGCGUAUAUUAAACUUGUUGCAGUUAAAAAGCUCGUAGUUGAAUUUCUGCGUUGCCCGACUCGGCUACUUGCCUUGUCUGGUUUCGCUUUUGGGGUUUUCCCCUUUUUACUUUGAGAAAAUUAGAGUGUUUCAAGCAGACUUGUGUCUUGAAUACUUCAGCAUGGAAUAAUAAAGUAGGACUUUGGUUCUAUUUUGUUGGUUUG
rnacentral:rRNA from 1 species